rnacentral:rRNA from 1 species
AUUGAACGCUGGCGGCAGGCCUAACACAUGCAAGUCGAGCGGAUGAAGGGAGCUUGCUCCUGGAUUCAGCGGCGGACGGGUGAGUAAUGCCUAGGAAUCUGCCUGGUAGUGGGGGAUAACGUCCGGAAACGGGCGCUAAUACCGCAUACGUCCUGAGGGAGAAAGUGGGGGAUCUUCGGACCUCACGCUAUCAGAUGAGCCUAGGUCGGAUUAGCUAGUUGGUGGGGUAAAGGCCUACCAAGGCGACGAUCCGUAACUGGUCUGAGAGGAUGAUCAGUCACACUGGAACUGAGACACGGUCCAGACUCCGACGGGAGGCAGCAGUGGGGAAUAUUGGACAAUGGGCGAAAGCCUGAUCCAGCCAUGCCGCGUGUGUGAAGAAGGUCGUCGGAUUGUAAAGCACUUUAAGUUGGGAGGAAGGGCAGUAAGUUAAUACCUUGCUGUUUUGACGUUACCAACAGAAUAAGCACCGGCUAACUUCGUG